UGGGGAAUAUUGGGCAAUGGGGGCAACCCUGAUCCAGCCAUGCCGCGUGAGUGAUGAAGGCCUUCGGGUUGUAAAGCUCUUUUGGCGGGGACGAUGAUGACGGUACCCGCAGAAUAAGCCCCGGCUAACUUCGUGCCGGCAGCCGCGGUAAGACGAAGGGGGCUAGCGUUGUUCGGAAUUACUGGGCGUAAAGCGAGUGUAGGCGGUUGUCGUAGUCAGGUGUGAAAGCCUUGAGCUCAACUCAAGAAAUGCACUUGAUACUGGGUGACUAGAGGACCGGAGAGGAUAGUGGAAUUCCCAGUGUAGUGGUGAAAUACGUAGAGAUUGGGAAGAACACCGGUGGCGAAGGCGGCUAUCUGGACGGUUACUGACGCUAAGACUCGAAAGCGUGGGGAGCAAACAGGAUUAGAUACCCUGGUAGUCCACGCCGUAAACGAUGGGUGCUAGACGUUGGCGAGCUUGCUCGUCAGUGUCGCAGCUAACGCGUUAAGCACCCCGCCUGGGGAGUACGGCCGCAAGGUUGAAACUCAAAAGGAAUUGACGGGGGUCAUAGCUGUUUUCCU
rnacentral:rRNA from 1 species